CCUACGGGGGGCUGCAGUGGGGAAUAUUGGACAAUGGGGGGAACCCUGAUCCAGUCAUGCCGCGUGUGUGAAGAAGGCCCUCGGGUUGUAAAGCACUUUCAGUGAGGAAGAACGCCUGGUGGUUAAUACCCAUCAGGAAAGACAUCACUCACAGAAGAAGCACCGGCUAACUCCGUGCCAGCAGCCGCGGUAAUACGGAGGGUGCGAGCGUUAAUCGGAAUUACUGGGCGUAAAGCGCGCGUAGGUGGCUUGAUAAGCCGGUUGUGAAAGCCCCGGGCUCAACCUGGGAACGGCAUCCGGAACUGUCAAGCUAGAGUGCAGGAGAGGAAGGUAGAAUUCCCGGUGUAGCGGUGAAAUGCGUAGAGAUCGGGAGGAAUACCAGUGGCGAAGGCGGCCUUCUGGACUGACACUGACACUGAGGUGCGAAAGCGUGGGUAGCAAACAGGAUUAGAUACCCCGGUAGUC
rnacentral:rRNA from 1 species